rnacentral:rRNA from 1 species
GCAUAUCAAUAAGCGGAGGAAAAGAAACCAACAGGGAUUGCCUCAGUAACGGCGAGUGAAGCGGCAAGAGCUCAAAUUUGAAAGCUGGCCCCCUCGGGGUCCGCAUUGUAAUUUGCAGAGGAUGCUUCGGGAGCGGCCCCCAUCUAAGUGCCCUGGAACGGGCCGUCAUAGAGGGUGAGAAUCCCGUCUGGGAUGGGGUGUCCGCGCCCGUGUGAAGCUCCUUCGACGAGUCGAGUUGUUUGGGAAUGCAGCUCUAAAUGGGUGGUAAAUUUCAUCUAAAGCUAAAUACUGGCCGGAGACCGAUAGCGCACAAGUAGAGUGAUCGAAAGAUGAAAAGCACUUUGAAAAGAGAGUUAAACAGCACGUGAAAUUGUUGAAAGGGAAGCGCUUGCGACCAGACUCGCUCGCGGGGUUCAGCCGGCAUUCGUGCCGGUGUACUUCCCCGCGAGCGGGCCAGCGUCGGUUUGGGCGGCCGGUCAAAGGCCCUCGGAAUGUAACGCCCCCCGGGGCGUCUUAUAGCCGAGGGUGCCAUGCGGCCAGCCCGGACCGAGGAACGCGCUUCGGCUCGGACGCUGGCAUAAUGGUCGUAAGCGACCCGUCUUGAAACACGGACCAAGGAGUCUAACAUCUACGCGAGUGUUCGGGUGUCAAACCCGUGCGCGCAGUGAAAGCGAACGGAGGUGGGAACCCCUCGGGGUGCACCAUCGACCGAUCCUGAUGUCUUCGGAUGGAUUUGAGUAAGAGCGUAGCUGUUGGGACCCGAAAGAUGGUGAACUAUGCCUGAAUAGGGCGAAGCCAGAGGAAACUCUGGUGGAGGCUCGCAGCGGUUCUGACGUGCAAAUCGAUCGUCAAAUUUGGGUAUAGGGGCGAAAGACUAAUCGAACCAUCUAGUAGCUGGUUCCUGCCGAG